AGUGUAGUGAUCGGGUUAGAGUGGUACACAUCUCUGGGUACAGCUUCUCUCUAUGUUUGUUAUACGAAAUUUUUGUAGUUGUUAACGAAGACGAAAUUUAUUGUUAGAUACGAAUCGGGUUAACUAAUUUCUUGAAACUUGAAAUGUAAUAACGGUGAUAGUGAAUAGUAAAAUAGUAGAUAAUUUAACACGAUGAAAAAAUUUUCGAAUAAACUUCUUUGCUUCGUUCUCCUAAUUCUUCUCAAAUCAACGCUUGUCAUUGGCGAUGUGAAACUGUUUCAACAAGACGAGUUGUUGACAUCGAAUCAAGAUGGCGUCGGGCUUGGACUUCAGGAUGUUGGUGUAUCAAGGAAGCAAGAUGGUGAUACACAAGAAUAUUUCGAUAUGUUGCCGGGGGCUUCUUCACAGCAAUAUUCCGUGGUCUAUUCGGACCCGAUGAUGGUGUCAGAAUCAAAGCACGGUCACGGCCACAAGCACAAGUCAUAUAGCAAGAAGUCCGGUAAGAAGAGCGAACAAGGGAAGAAGGGUCACAAAAAACACCUCUCUAAAAAGGGCAAGAAGUCCAGCAAGAAGUCACAUGAAAAGAAAGGCCAGAAGAAGAAAUAUCACGACAAGAAGGCCAAGAAAUACAAACACGACGACCACAAGAAGAAGUAUCACGGCUCUGUGAAGAAGUCCAAGAAAGGCAAGAAGUCCUUCAAGCACGCCAAGAAGGGGCACCACAAGAAGGGACACAAGGAUAAGGGCUUCAAGAACGUGUACCACAAGGAGGAAUACAAGCGCAAGAAGAAGUUCUUUGAUGACCACAAAGAUGAAAAACAUCACGAUAAGAAAGUCAAAGGCAAGAAGAGCUUCAAGGGCGACAAAGGCAAGGACUAUAAAGGCAAAAAAGCAAAGGACACAAGGCUGAAGUCAGCAGCUGAGAAGUUUCAUGUCGCCGAUGCUGCGUUGGAAAGACAAAUUGCAAAACUGAAAGAAAAGGUUCUGUUAAUAAAAAAAGAACUGGGAGAUAAUCCCAUGCAACAAAGUGAAAAUAGAAAAACGCUGCCUACGAAAAUAAGCAGUAAAAAACAUAGAGAAAAUAGACUAAAAGUGACAGAUAAAGUAAAGGGAAAUGAAAAACGAAAGAAAAUUUCCAGAAGCAAAUCAUCUAGAAAGUAUCUGAGAGCUCGUUAUUUGAAGGAAGGCUCACGAACAAACUCGAGUAGGAAAAUAACUGGCAAAUCUAAGCAAAAGUCAAAAGCAGUUGUUGAACCAGCGAAAGCUUCACACAAAAGAAAUCUGCAAAAUUCGACUGUAAAAAGCGUGGUCUCGAAGAGAAUAGUAACGGGAAAAUCAGUUUUUAAGAAGAACAUUAAAAGCAGGAGGAGAAAUUCCUCAGGGAAAUUUACAAAAACAUCCAGAAAGAGAAGCGGAAUGAAGUCAAAAGAGAAGAAAUUGGAUAAACUGAGAUCUAAAAGGAAUAUUGAAAAAUUCAAGAAGGGGAGAUCGGAACCCGUGAAGCCAAGACCCCUAGUUACUCGAACCAAGGCGAAAAAUCAGAAAAAGUUAUUAGCUUCGAGUCGCUCGUCGAGACAACGAAAUGCAAAGUCUGCUAAGGCUUUGAAAGACAAGACCAGAUCUUCAAGUGCUCGAAAUAAAAAUUCCAUCACAAUAAGAUCGGAGAAAUACAAGCAGCACCUCGCCAAUGCCCAGAAUAAGAAGCACCAGCUAUUAUUGGCAAAGAAAAAAUUGAGGUCAGUCCACUCCAAGGAGAGACGACCUAAGUCUUCAAAAUCCCAAAAUAAUGAAUUAAAAUCUUCACACCUGAAGAAGCUUAAAAUAACGAAGAAGAGUGGCAACGUAUCGGCUAUAUUAUCAAUGGUGGUUAAAUCAUCUUCUAAAAAUAAAAAACGUGCUCGAUCAGGUCUCAGAAAAUCCAAAGAGGGGAAGAGAAGACAUCUUAGAAAAUUAACUGCUAAGGGUGAAUUUGUUUGCCGCACUCGGGGCAGAAGUAAAAAAUGUCGGCCCAUGACAGCCGCAGAGCACAGGGAUAGGAUCAGAAAGCAUUUUUCAUUGGUGAAACAAAGUCAAUUAAAGUUGAAGGAGCCCAAGAAAGGAUGCCAUGGCAAUGUGAAUUCAAAUUGUAAACAAAAUAACCGUUGGGGAAACAGCAAGUCUUUUACUAAGAAUACGCUAAAGAAUAAAGAUUUUCAGUCGAAAAUGAAAGUGAAAGCAGGUUCACAGCGUCCAAGAAAGGCUCCUCGAGCAGAACAAAAAUCCAAACGAAAAAAUCAGCCCAUCAGUUACGCAGCAAAAAAGACAGAAAAAAUAUCGGAAUCAAAAAGUAUUAGAAGAAGAACUCGCAAUAAGGGAGAGAUUGAUCGUCAAAAUAGUUCAACAAGAAAUAGACAAGGACGUCCUCGAUCGAAAAGAAACUCGAUUAAUGAGAAAAAAUAUGAUGAUAAACGAGGAAAACAAACGAAAAAAGUAAAGACAUCUCAAAACACUUCAGGAAAGAAACUUGCUCGUAGAUAUUCAUCAAGAACUAAAGAAAUCAAAUCAAGAAGCCGUGCAGACAUAAAAGCAAACAAACGCAAAGCAGUAAACACUUUAGAACGUGCAGAUACAACUUCAAUAAAAUAUCAAAUGCAUGGACAUAGGAAACCAAAGCAAGAUAAGAAAUGGCGGAGAGACAUGGAAAUAGCUUCAAAUCAAGUAAUUUCAAGUUAUUUAUUUAAUAACUUCAACUCUAGAAAUCGUAACAUCGGUGAGACAUCUUCCAGCCGUCGGCUACGGUCAUCCCCGUUCGCUAACGGAAAGAAGUUCAAAGACGAACACGGCAAGAAGAGCGACCUGAAGAAGUCCAUGCACCACGACCACAAGAGCGACCACAGCAAGAAAUAUGACAAGAAAAAGUUCGACAAGCAUAAGAAAUCUCAUAAGUCUUCAAUGCUAUUGGACUGCUCCUGUCGUCUUUACGCACCUUGAUGUAGCUUCCUUCAUUUCUUCUUCCUCUUCUUGCCCAGCUUUCUUCUUGGAGUAGACGUGGAGAUGACCAUAAAGGACAUCACUCGGAAAUUUCUCCAGUCCACGUCACUCCGGAGGACGUUCCUCACGAUCCAUCAGCUCUGUUUGUGGUCCCUGCUCCAGACCUUCGUCCUGCUCCGCCUCCAGCUUU
rnacentral:misc_RNA from 1 species